rnacentral:tRNA from 1 species
GUUUAUAUAAUAUAUAAAAAUAUUAGUAUAUUUAACUUCCAAUUAAAAUGACAUUUAAUAUGUAUAAAUA